rnacentral:misc_RNA from 1 species
CAACCCUCAAGCACUGCUUGGUGUUGGGUGCCACUUUUUGUGCACCUUAAAAUCAGUGGCGAUGCCCUGCAGCUUCAAGUGUAGUAAAUUUCUCGCUCUGAAGCUUGUCAGAAACACUGCCAACAACCCUCUAUUUAUCUAA